CAGGCCUAACACAUGCAAGUCGAGCGCCCCGGAAGGCAGGCGGCGGACGGGUGAGUAACGCGUCGGAACGAUACCCUUUGGUUCGGGAUAGCCCUGGGAAACCGGGAGUAAUACCGGAUGUGGUCUUCGGACGAAAGAUUUAUCGCCAAAGGAUCGGCCCGCGUUGGAUUAGGUAGUUGGUGGGGUAACGGCCUACCAAGCCGACGAUCCAUAGCUGGUUUGAGAGGAUGAUCAGCCACACUGGGACUGAGACACGGUCCAGACUCCUACGGGAGGCAGCAGUGAGGAAUCUUGGACAAUGGGGGAAACCCUGAUCCAGCCAUGCCGCGUGAGUAUGAAGGCCUUCGGGUUGUAAAGCUCUUUCAGAUGUGAAGAUAAUGACGGUAGCAUCAGAAGAAGCUCCGGCUAACUCCGUGCCAGCAGCCGCGGUAAU
rnacentral:rRNA from 1 species